GAUUAAAAUUUUGUAUGUAUUAUAGACAAUAUUUGAUUUUAUAAACAAAUUUUAAAAUCAUAAUUUUUAAUCAUAAACGAAAUAUGACUUUUGAUAAUUAUUAUGAUAUUAUUAUAACAUUUUGAUAUUGUUGUGAUCUUGAAUAUAUUCUGAAAUAUUAAUUAUUUAAUUUGUUUUGUGUUUUAUGUGUACAGCCGGUUACUAAAAGAUUGCAAUACUUAUUUUUUAAUGAGUUUUGAAGCGCAGCUUGUUCACCGAACAAUUCUUACUUAUGGAUCUAAUCAAUUACAUUCAACCGCUCCACAACAAAACUGCGUUUUAAAAUUUACCGAAAAAAGUAUUACAAUCUUUUAAUAUUUGACUGUACGUAAUAAAAUAUAUUAUAAUAAAUCCUUUGCAACAGAUGUAAAUACAUUGAAAAGUUACGGUAAUUAAGAAAACUUUUUUAAAAAAUAUUGUUAAUCUUGAUUUAUGAUUUUUUUACACUGAAUUAAUUUGAUUCAUAUUUUAACUUGAUGGAAUUAAGAUCCUUAGAGAUCUGGCGAAAAUAAAAUACAUUAUUUAAAUUUAAUUCUAGCUUUUUAUAUUUUUUAGACACUUAUAUAUAUGCAAAUUAUAUCCUUUUUUUAAGAUUAUUAAGAGAUUAAUUUAUUCUUUGAUUAUAAAAACAGCAAAAAUAAUUUUUUUUAGAUCUUCUAUUAUUAGUCAAUCCUUGAAAUCUUUCUAUUUUAUUAUGCUGCUCAGAAAACCUGAGAGCAUUUAUGCAUAUAUUAUUUAUAUAUAAAACUUAGAAGUCCUAAUCCAGUUGAAAUGUUUGCUGAGUUUCUGAACGAUCAACAUGUUAUUUUAUUCGCUUAGUGUAUUUAGCAUCACAAUGUUUGGAUUAUCUUUAGCCAAGGAACUUUCUACAACUACCUGCAAACGAAAUUUAGCUGAUUAUUCUGUCUGUUUAAAACAUUCAUUGGAAGAAGUAUGGCCACUAUUUCUUACAGGAAUUCCAGAAUUUGAGUUUCCGUCUUUGGAUCCAUUAUUAUAUGAACAUGGUAACGCUGCAUUUAAUUCAGGAGAAAUAAAUGCAAAUAUUUUUUUAUUAAACACUUCUGGUUUUGGUUUAUCAAAAGCUCAAUUUUUUGAUGUCAGGACACACUUUCUUAAUGACGUUUUUCGUUUGGAAAUUGAUGGUUUUGUACCUGAGCUAGUCUUAAAAGGAUCUGUAAAAUUAAAUGGUACUCUGAGUGUAUUCAGAGUUGCUAGUGAAGGUUUUUUUAAUGUAACUGCUUAUGAUGUUAGAGGAACAUGGAAUAUAAUAGGUCAUGUAGUAAACGAUACAUGGAAUGUAGAACAUUUUCGUACACUUCCAUUAAUUAAAAAAUUUAAAGUGCAUUUUGAUACUGUGAAAGGCAACAAAGAAAUUAAUGAUCUUGUUACAGCUUUUGUAAAUGAAUUUUGGCCGUCAUUAAUUCGAGUGAUGUUGCCACCAAUGUCUCAGGCAUGGGAUCCAUGGUUGACUGGGAUUAUUAAUAAGUUUUUCUCGAAAGUUUCUUUCUCAAAAUUAUUUCCAUAAAAUUUACAUUAUACAUAGAAGUUAAAAAUUACUACCAGAUUCAAUGUGACAAUUACUCACGAUAAACUUAAGAGUAGCUAUUGUGCAGUCCGUACGUGCAGUUAAUCUGAGGAAUGCAGUGCACAACAGUGUUGUUGACGAAACCACCUGCGUCUCUAACAGCUGCGGCACCAGCAAAAAA
rnacentral:misc_RNA from 1 species